rnacentral:rRNA from 1 species
UACGUAGGGUGCGAGCGUGUCCGGAAUUAUUGGGCGUAAAGAGCUUGUAGGCGGUUUGUCGCGUCUGCUGUGAAAAUCCGGGGCUCAACCCCGGACUUGCAGUGGGUACGGGCAGACUAGAGUGUGGUAGGGGAGACUGGAAUUCCUGGUGUAGCGGUGAAAUGCGCAGAUAUCAGGAGGAACACCGGUGGCGAAGGCGGGUCUCUGGGCAAUAACUGACGCUGAGGAGCGAAAGCGUGGGGAGCGAACAGG